GGAAGAUUGCCUGAGUUUGGUAAAGGGCCUGAUUGCUAAUCAGAGACAUGAGAAAUCAUACGUAGGUUCAAAUCCUGCAUCUUCCG
rnacentral:tRNA from 1 species